UAGUAUGGUACUGUGGUUAGCCCCCACCACGAGGCUGCAUUGUUAAGAGUUAUGCCAACAUAUAGAUAUCAUGAAGCGCGCGUAUAGUGGCAGAUUCUCGCAUAUUUACUUUAUAAUAUAAAGUUUUUUUUAAAAAGCGUUUGUUUAAAUGAGUAUUACAAUGAAUAUCAUGUACAUAACCUAGUUUAGAAGAAUUAGCUGCGAAGUUUGAAUUUUAGUGUUAUAUAUGUACAUAAGCUAUCCUCUUCUCCACUACUCGAUAUCCAUAUUUUGAAUCAGAGUUUUUAUAUGAUAUACCAAUACGCAUGAAAAUAUGUCUACAUCAUACAUUUUUUUUUUUUUUUUGUCUACAUCAUACAUGGGUUUGCAGUGUAUAUACUUUAAAUAUAAUGACAAAAAUUCACUAAAUUCGCUAACCGUUGAUUGCCGAAUGAUAAAUAAUUGCUUGCGUGAAUACUGUAGAGCUCGUGUUGACGCAAACUAUUUUGUUCGAGUCUCGCAGGAGUUGUGGCUUUCACACAAAAUCACAAUAUACAGUUUAGUCAAUGUAAAAUUAUCUGGUUUUGUCGUUUAAGUUGCAUGCAUGCAUGUCAUUUGGCUGCACUCUUUAAAUGUGAGAAGUAUAUUCCAACACUAAUUUAAAUAACCAAACUAAAAAUGAAGACCAAGAACUAAAAUCAAAAUGAUCGUUGUGUGGUAGAAUUUUGAGAGUUGUGGCCUUGUUAGGUCCAUA
rnacentral:lncRNA from 1 species